GACGAACGCUGGCGGCGCGCCUAACACAUGCAAGUCGAACGAGCGAGAGAGAGCUUGCUUUCUCGAGCGAGUGGCGAACGGGUGAGUAACGCGUGAGGAACCUGCCUCAAAGAGGGGGACAACAGUUGGAAACGACUGCUAAUACCGCAUAAGCCCACGGCUCGGCAUCGAGCAGGGGGAAAAGGAGCAAUCCGCUUUGAGAUGGCCUCGCGUCCGAUUAGCUAGUUGGUGAGGUAACGGCCCACCAAGGCGACGAUCGGUAGCCGGACUGAGAGGUUGAACGGCCACAUUGGGACUGAGACACGGCCCAGACUCCUACGGGAGGCAGCAGUGGGGAAUAUUGCACAAUGGGGGAAACCCUGAUGCAGCGACGCCGCGUGGAGGAAGAAGGUCUUCGGAUUGUAAACUCCUGUUGUUGGGGAAGAUAAUGGCGGUACCCAACAAGGAAGUGACGGCUAACUACGUG
rnacentral:rRNA from 1 species